GGUGAGUAACACGUGGAUAACCUACCUAUAAGACUGGGAUAACUUCGGGAAACCGGAGCUAAUACCGGAUAAUAUAUUGAACCGCAUGGUUCAAUAGUGAAAGACGGUUUUGCUGUCACUUAUAGAUGGAUCCGCGCCGCAUUAGCUAGUUGGUAAGGUAACGGCUUACCAAGGCAACGAUGCGUAGCCGACCUGAGAGGGUGAUCGCCACACUGGAACUGAGACACGGCCAG
rnacentral:rRNA from 1 species